rnacentral:rRNA from 1 species
UACGUAGGAGGCGAGCGUUGUUCGGAUUUACUGGGCGUAAAGGGCGCGUAGGCGGCCACCGCAAGUCAGUUGUGAAAUCUCCGGGCUUAACUCGGAAAGGUCAACUGAUACUGUGCGACUAGAGUGCGGAAGGGGCAACUGGAAUUCUCGGUGUAGCGGUGAAAUGCGUAGAUAUCGAGAGGAACACCUGCGGCGAAGGCGGGUUGCUGGGCCGACACUGACGCUGAUGCGCGAAAGCCAGGGGAGCGAACGGG